rnacentral:rRNA from 1 species
UCCAACCGCGGGGGGAGGAAGCGCGGUAAGAGGGGUGGGGGAAGCGUUAAUCGGAAUUGAUGGGCGUAAAGCGUGCGCAGGCGGCUUAUUAAGUCAGAUGUGAAAUCCCUAGGCUCAACCUAGGAACUGCAUUUUAAACUAAUAAACUAGAGUAUCGUAGAGGGAGGUAGAAGUCCAGGUGUAGCGGUGAAAUGCGUAGAUAUCUGGAGGAAUACCAGUGGCGAAGGCGACCUCCUGGACGAAAACUGACGCUCAAGCACGAAAGCAUGGGGAGCAAACAGGAUUAGAUACCCGUGUAGUC